AGCGGUUUCUGAUCAUGAUGUGUGUGUUUUGCUGGCUUCAGGAACACCUUGACAAUGAGUCUUCAUCCUGGAGGAGAACAUCAGCUCUGCCACUCUCAACUUGGUAGAUUCCUCUGCUGAGAGACUCCUGUCACGGGACCCUGACUUAGUUUCCAUGGGGACCCAGAGCAGGCGGCAUACUGAGAGACCAGCAGUCCGCGAGGGAUGCGCUGUAGCUGCCAGGUGCCCAUGUGAGGGACGAGCCAGGGAUUGGUUCGGAGACUGAGACGGAUGAGUGGCUGCAGGUAAGACGUCCAGGAUCCUGGCUAAAUGCCCAACCC
rnacentral:lncRNA from 1 species